rnacentral:tRNA from 1 species
ACCUGGGUGGCUCAGUCAGUUGAGCAUCUGGCUUCGGCUCAGGUCACGAUCCUAGGGUCCUGGGAUCGAGUCCCACUUCAGGCA